rnacentral:rRNA from 1 species
GACGAACGCUGGCGGCGUGCUUAACACAUGCAAGUCGAACGGAAAGGCCCUGCUUUUGUGGGGUGCUCGAGGGGCGAACGGGUGAGUAACACUUGAGUAACCUGCCCUUGACUUUGGGAUAACGUCAAGAAACUGGGGCUAAUACCGGAUAGGAGCUCCUGCUGCAUUGUGGGGGUUGGAAAGUUUCGGCGGAUGGGGAUGUACUCGCGGCUUAUCAGCUUGUUGGUGGGGUAGUGGCUUACCAAGGCUUUGACGGGUAGCCGGCCUGAGAGGGUGACCGGCCACAUUGGGACUGAGAUACGGCCCAGACUCCUACGGGAGGCAGAAGUGGGGAAUAUUGCACAAUGGGCGGAAGCCUGAUGAAGCAACGCCGUGUGAGGGAUGACGGCCUUCGGGUUGUAAACCGCUUUCGCAUGUGCCGAAGCGUGAGUGACGGUAAUGGGUAAAGAAGCACCGGCUAACUACGUG